UACGUAGGCAGCGAGCGUUGUUCGGAGUUACUGGGCGUAAAGGGUGCGUAGGCGGUUGUUUAAGUUUGGUGUGAAAUCUCCCGGCUCAACUGGGAGGGUGCGCCGAAUACUGAAUGACUAGAGUGCGGGAGAGGAGAGUGGAAUUCCUGGUGUAGCGGUGAAAUGCGCAGAUAUCAGGAGGAACACCGGUGGCGAAGGCGGGUCUCUGGGCAGAUACUGACGCUGAGGCACGAAAGCGUGGGGAGCAAACAGG
rnacentral:rRNA from 1 species